rnacentral:rRNA from 1 species
GACGAACGCUGGCGGCGUGCCUAAUACAUGCAAGUCGAGCGAAUGACGAGAAGCUUGCUUCUCUGAUUUAGCGGCGGACGGGUGAGUAACACGUGGGCAACCUGCCCUACAGAUCGGGAUAACUCAGGGAAACCUGGGCUAAUACCGGAUAAUCCUUCGAAUCACAUGUUUUGAAGUUGAAAGGCGCUUCGGCGUCACUGUAGGAUGGGCCCGCGGUGCAUUAGCUAGUUGGUGGGGUAACGGCCUACCAAGGCAACGAUGCAUAGCCGACCUGAGAGGGUGAUCGGCCACAUUGGGACUGAGACACGGCCCAAACUCCUACGGGAGGCAGCAGUAGGGAAUCUUCCACAAUGGACGAAAGUCUGAUGGAGCAACGCCGCGUGAGUGAUGAAGGUUUUCGGAUCGUAAAACUCUGUUGUAAGGGAAGAACAAGUACGUUAGGAAAUGAACGUACCUUGACGGUACCUUAUUAGAAAGCCACGGCUAACUACGUGCCAGCAGCAGCCGCGG